ACGAAAGGACCCCGAGCAAUGGCGGCGCGGAGGCGGCGGGGCCGAGCGCGGGCUCUCCGCCAAUGGCGGCCGCGGGGCCGCCGCGAUGGCACUGCCGCUGGUGGAGCUGUUGGGCUCCGUGCGGGGAAAGUGGCGCUCCGCUGCCCCGCGUCCCCGCCGCCGCCGCCCGCCCCGUGCCUUUGGGACGCCGGGCUCUCAGGGGAAGGCGGCGCGGAGGUCCGUCCGUCCCCCGUCAGCACCGAGCCGUCCUCCGCAGUCGCCGUUUGGACGGGAGCCGGUUGGGAACGCGGUCGUCUCUCUGUUUGUCGCUCUGUGCGUUCGUCGAUUAAACAUUUCCCGUUCGUUUCUCGGCGCUUCUGCCCGCGGUCGUUUCUGCAGCUCCGGUAACCCACCCCGUCCCCGUGCCCACCGCCAGGUAGGAUGCCGCUGCAUUUACAGUGCAAUCAAAUGAGAAUGUGACAGAGACUCUGGUAAGUGGUGGAUUUUGCUUCUUUUCUAAAUGGUGUGUAAAAAAAAGGGUACUGUUUUUUGCUUUGUACAAAAAUAUUUGCUCCUUUGUACAAAAACAUGGGUGUUUUCCAUCCUCUAAUUCAUUAAAUCUUGACCUGAAAGAAUAGGUGGGUAUACCAUUGCAGCUGUAAAUCUGUACUUUCUGAAAGUCUUUCACUAGGAUAGCACUGCAAAAAAGGAAAAACAGGAUGCCUAGAUACUUUUAAUUUUUGAAGGUACAGUCAGUUUAUUUAUUGCACUUAAGAAAAGCAAGAAUGAGUGCUUUGGUCCAAUGUACAGCAAGGAAGUGCUACGUGUGCUGUCGGUACACAUGCCUCUCAUAUCACUGCAGCUUCAUCUAUCUUCCACAUUUUAGUAGGUACCAUCUUUUAAGGGGGGGAAUGCUGUUGGAAGUGAUCCUACUUUGGUGGUUUCUGGGCUCCUCUUGCUGAAUCCAGUUAGCCUGAAUGAAGGAUAUGGAGUGGCAGCAUUGCUGGGUGAACGCUGCCGUUACUGAGAGCAGAAGAGUGAUUCUGUCUGUUGAUGUGCCUUUGGUCACUGAGCACCGUGAGAGCAUUCUGAGUAUUUGUGUGUGUAGUUCAGGUGGCAAGUAGCCUAAAGACUGUUUGUGCACAAGUGACUCAGAGCACAUCAGUGCCAUCUGCAUUGUAACACAUUAACUCUGAUUUUAAGCCUGAAAGUUCCUUCCAGUAUUAAGGCCCAGGAAACUCAUUAGCCAUCUGACCUGGGAUAAACCUGCCUUUUGUUUCUCAUUACAAUCCUGUUUUUUCUUUGUGAAAUUCCUUGGAACUGGUAUUGUCACACAAGACAGACUUCUGCACAGUGU